GUGGUUGUCACAUUUGGACUGCACAGGAAGCAUUAUAGAGAGAUUAUAGAACCCGGCUGGUUCUUGGAUCCAACUGACUGUGUGUCUGAUUCCUUUUGGAUCCUGCUAUGCCAAAACUGGAUCAAAACGAACGCCAAGUGCUUACUUUGAAAAAAUAGGCAAAUGGUGGUGGCAAUGGCUCACGCCUGUAAUUCCAGCACUUUGAGAGACCAAGGCAGGAGGAUAACUUCAGGCCAAAAAUUCAAGACCAGCCUGGGCAACACAGUGAGACCGUGUCUCUAUUUGUAAAAAAUAGGCAAAUGGUACAAAAUGAUAACUGAUAAAAGAAAAACAUCCAAUAAACAUAUCAAAAAAACACAG
rnacentral:lncRNA from 1 species